AACUGCAUGUCUAUUAAAUGCAAAUGAACUAAAAGGUGAAAGUGAAUGAUUCUCUAUUGAAUAAAACCCUACAUUCAACUCUAAUCCAAACGCUUAUCUUAAUAUUUUAGGAUUGGGUUUAGGGUUAGAUUUUAAGCUUAGGUUAAGGUUAGGGUUAGGUGUAGGGUUAGAUUUUAGGGUUGAUUAAGGUUUAAGGUUAGGGUUAGGUGUAGGGUUAGAUUUUAGGGUUGAUUAAGGGUUAAGGUUAGGGUUAGGUGUAGG